UUCUCUUGCCCUGAGGUCAGAUUCAAGACUUUCAGAGUGUUAGAACAGGCAGAGAUCCUAGCACUGAGCUGGUCCAACCUCUCCUUUUCACAGGCGAGGAAACUGGGGUCGGAGUAGUUAAAGAGACUUAUCUACAGUCAUAGAAUGAUUUCCUGCAAAAUAAAGAACAGUAUGGAUUGUGUAGAAUGACAGGCCUCUGAAGUUACUCAGACUGCAUGUGUGUCCCAGAUCCACCUUUUGCCCUAUGGCCCAAGGCAUAACCAUAUAACCACAGCUUCUACGUCAUAUAUAGGAAGGGGAUAAUAAAAUAUAUAUGAAGGGUUGCUAUGUGGACUAAAUGAGAGCUAAAAGAGUGCCCCAGGAUAGACUUUCAAUAAACGUCAGUUUCUUUUCUUACAAAGACAAGAUUCCAGAAGUCUUCAAAUAUUUAGGGGAUUAAGAUGGCCAAAUGUCUCAAAUUUAUUUUAGGCCACAUGUAAACGAGGUAGAACUUCUAUUCUUAACUGACUUCUGUAAUCUGUACCAUUUCCUAAAACCCCUUAUCUCCAUAGGAACUCCUUGAAACAAAAAUAUUUCCACCAAUGGCAGAACGCAGUACUCCUGUGCCUUCCUCUUGAAGCCUGAAAAGUGCUUUUUCUUCACAUUGGGAGGGGGAAGGGACCUUCCUGACAUUGGCCUAUAUUACUCAGGAUGUAGCUCAAGAUCCAGAAGAUGGGCCUCCUGGUUAUACGAAAUCAGGACAUGGUGUGAACACUGAUCAGCCAGGGACUGACACAAAGUGGUCCCCAAAGAAGGAAGAUUGGACAGAAACAAGAGGCAACUGAGAAGAGCCACAUUUUUAGUGAAAUUCCACUUUGAUAAACCCUCUGGAAGAAAUAGUUUUUUACAAAGAACUUGGACUUGUUCAGGUAUCCCCCAGGCUUCCACACACCCCAGGAGACAUGGGAAGCUGACCCCCCACUCCACAGUUCCCAGGAGUGAGCCUGAUUUAAUAAGGAUCAUCUUGUUCCUGCAGAGGAGAGGUGAGCAAGCCUUUCCUGUGAAGGGCCAGAUAGUAAACACUUUAGGCUCUGUGGUCAGACACCCCUGUGGCGACCACUCAGGCCACUGUAGUGCAAAAGCAGCUCAAACAACACAUAAAUGAAUGCGUGUGGCUGAGUUCCAAGAAAACUUUACUUGGGAACACUAAAUUGUUAAUUCCUUAUAGUGUUCACCUCAUAA